AAGGACACUAAAAAUACUGUAUUUGCAUACGAUAUUAACAAUAAUGAAUGCAAAACCCUGCCGCCACUGCCAUUUCCUAUCUCUGAGAUGGCUACUGUUAGUUAUAAAGGUAAUAUAAUUUUGAUCGGAGGUUAUAACGAGAAAGGCAAAACAUUGAACACAGUAUUCAUGUACGAAGUGAAAACAGG